GUUCCAGACUCCUACGGGAGGCAGCAGUGGGGAAUAUUGCACAAUGGGGGAAACCCUGAUGCAGCGACGCCGCGUGAGCGAAGAAGUAUUUCGGUCUGUAAAGCUCUAUCAGCAGGGAAGAAAAUGACGGUACCUGAGUAAGAAGCUCCGGCUAAAUACGUGCCAGCAGCCGCGGUAAUACGUAUGGAGCAAGCGUUAUCCGGAUUUACUGGGCGUAAAGGGAGCGUAGGCGGCCUGCCAAGUCUGGAGUGAAAGGCGGGGGCCCAACCCCCGGACUGCUUUGGAAACUGUAUAACUGGAGUGCAGGAGAGGUAAGUGGAAUUCCUAGUGUAGCGGUGAAAUGCGUAGAUAUUAGGAGGAACACCAGUGGCGAAGGCGGCUUACUGGACUGUAACUGACGUUGAGGCUCGAAAGCGUGGGGAGCAAACAGGAUUAGAUACCCGGGUAAC
rnacentral:rRNA from 1 species